rnacentral:rRNA from 1 species
AAUAGAUACCCAGGUAGUCCACGCCGUAAACGAUGGAUGCUAGCUGUUAUGCGUAUCGACCCGUGUAGUAGCGAAGCUAACGCGUUAAGCAUCCCGCCUGGGGAGUACGAACGCAAGUUUAAAACUCAAAGGAAUUGACGGGGACCCGCACAAGCGGUGGAGCGUGUUCUUUAAUUCGAGGCUAAGCGAAGAACCUUACCAGGGCUUGACAUCCUUGGAAUUUCUCCGAAAGGAGAGAGUACUUUAUUGGACCAAGUGACAGGUGCUGCAUGGCCGUCGUCAGCUCGUGUCGUGAGAUGUUUGGUUAAGUCCAUUAACGAGCGCAACCCUUAUGAAUAGUUGUAUUUUUCUAUUCAGACUGCCCCGGUAACGGGGAGGAAGGGGGGUAUGAUGUCAGGUCAGUAUUGCCCUUACGCCCUGGGCUAGAAACGCGCUACAAUGGCCGGUACAAUGCGCUGCCAACCCGCGAGGGGGAGCAAAUCGCAUCAAAGCCGGUCCCAGUUCGGAUAAGAGGCUGAAACUCGCCUCUUGAAGCCGGAAUCGCUAGUAAUCGU